rnacentral:rRNA from 1 species
UACAGAGGUCUCAAGCGUUGUUCGGAUUCAUUGGGCGUAAAGGGUGCGUAGGUGGCGCGCUAAGUCAGGUGUGAAAUUUCGGAGCUUAACUCCGAAACUGCAUUUGAUACUGGCGUGCUUGAGGACUGGAGAGGAGACUGGAAUUCAUGGUGUAGCAGUAGAAAUGCGUAGAGAUCAUGAGGAAGACCAGUGGCGAAGGCGGGUCUCUGGACAGUUCCUGACACUGAGGCACGAAGGCCAGGGGAGCAAACGGG